rnacentral:rRNA from 1 species
UACGUAGGCAGCGAGCGUUGUUCGGAAUUACUGGGCGUAAAGAGUGUGUAGGCGGUGCUCUAAGUUCGGUGUGAAAUCUCCUGGCUCAACUGGGAGGGUGCGCCGGAAACUGGAGUGCUUGAGCGUGGGAGAGGAAAGCGGAAUUCCUGGUGUAGCGGUGAAAUGCGUAGAUAUCAAGAGGAACACCUGCGGCGAAGGCGGGUUGCUGGGCCGACACUGACGCUGAGGCGCGAAAGCUAGGGGAGCGAACGGG